UAACGCGUGAGUAACCUGCCUUUCAGAGGGGGACAACAGCUGGAAACGGCUGCUAAUACCGCAUAAUAUAUACGGAUCGCAUGAUUUGUAUAUCAAAGAUUUAUCGCUGAAAGAUGGACUCGCGUCUGAUUAGCUAGUUGGCGGGGUAACGGCCCACCAAGGCGACGAUCAGUAGCCGGACUGAGAGGUUGAACGGCCACAUUGGGACUGAGAUACGGCCCAG
rnacentral:rRNA from 1 species